UACGUAGGGGGCUAGCGUUGUCCGGAUUUAUUGGGCAUAAAGAGCGUGUAGGCGGCCAGGUAGGUCUGGUGUGAAAACUCGAGGCUUAACCUCGAGAUGUCAUCGGAAACCAUUUGGCUAGAGUCCGGAAGAGGAGAGUGGAAUUCCUGGUGUAGCGGUGAAAUGCGCAGAUAUCAGGAAGAACACCCGUGGCGAAGGCGGCUCUCUGGGACGGUACUGACGCUGAGACGCGAAAGCCAGUGGGA
rnacentral:rRNA from 1 species